AAAGCUCUUUGCUUAAUUAAAUUGAGUCAAUUAGUAAUUUAAUUACUAAUUAAUUCUUUAAAAAUAGUAGAGUCCCAGUCUCAGUGGGAUUCUCCCCCAAAGUCCUAGUCCGAGUAGGACUCUUCACCAGAGUCACAAUCCAAUUGGACUCUUCAACCAUCAGAUCUGAUCAAAUCUUCUAAUGCGUGUGACCCCAUAGGUUCAAACCUAAGUUGAUAGCAUAGGAAUAACUUUCUAUACCAAUCGAUGUAACCAUCUAGCAAUGAUGACCCGACGACCAGAUAGAUCGAAGUAUUACAAAGCAACCUUCUAGAACCUACUGACAUAUAGUUAUCAUAUAAUUCAUUCUUUUGACUCAAAUGCUCAAGAUGACCUAGGGUUUAACUGUCAAUCCUAAUUUAGUCGACCAC
rnacentral:lncRNA from 1 species